rnacentral:rRNA from 1 species
GUCCAGACUCCUACGGGAGGCAGCAGUGGGGAAUAUUGCACAAUGGGGGAAACCCUGAUGCAGCGACGCCGCGUGAGUGAAGAAGUAUUUCGGUAUGUAAAGCUCUAUCAGCAGGGAAGAAAAUGACGGUACCUGACUAAGAAGCCCCGGCUAACUACGUGCCAGCAGCCGCGGUAAUACGUAGGGGGCAAGCGUUAUCCGGAUUUACUGGGUGUAAAGGGAGCGUAGACGGCAGUGCAAGUCUGGAGUGAAAGGCGGGGGCUCAACCCCCGGACUGCUCUGGAAACUGUACGGCUGGAGUGCAGGAGAGGUAAGUGGAAUUCCUGGUGUAGCGGUGAAAUGCGUAGAUAUUAGGAGGAACACCGGUGGCGAAGGCGGCCUGCUGGACUGUAACUGACGUUGAGGCUCGAAAGCGUGGGGAGCAAGCAGGAUUAGAUACCCGAGUACC